rnacentral:lncRNA from 1 species
CUUGUUUUGCUUUUCAGACUCUAGAAAUCACUUAACAAACAUUAGACCAGAAGUCUGAAGAGGGACAAUAAUGUGGUUUCUGUUUAUGCUUGCUAGCUUGCCUGUCUGUGUUUAUCUGUGGGCUGCAGCUAGCUGAUCACAUACCAUAUCUGUUCCACUGUGGUAAACCAGCACUAUUUGCUUUGUUAUUUUCCUCAAGGUACUUCUAAAAAUGCUCCCAGACAUCAAGCAACAAAUUAGGAGAUCUUGGAUGUGAUCAUGUUCCAUCACACACAAUGUGGCACAGGUCACAAAAGUGAAGAAAAGGUGCAGCAGGAUAUGUGCACAUGUGCAUGUGCAUUUGCAGGCAAGAAAGCAACAGAGAGAGCAUACACAGAAUUGCAUUCAGGUGAAUCUGAACGCUGUCUCCCUCCAUCUUCAUCAAGAUCCUGA